CUCCUCAGCAUGGCCCUUGGUGCUGCAGGCGCGGUGGGCUCUGGGCCCAGGCACCGAGGGGGCACUGGAUGACUCUCCAGUUGCAGGACCCUGCCAUCUAUGACUCCAGGCCUUCAGCACCCACCCACCGUGGUACAGUGCCAAGAGGAGGAAGAUGGCUGACAAAAUCCUCCCUCAAAGGAUUCGGGAGCUGGUCCCCGAGUCCCAGGCCUACAUGGACCUCCUAGCCUUUGAGAGGAAACUGGAUCAAACCAUCAUGCGGAAGCGGGUGGACAUCCAGGAGGCUCUGAAGAGGCCCAUGAAGGUGCCUUAGUUUGGGGCAAAAGCGGAAGCUGCGUCUUUAUAUCUCCAACACUUUUAACCCUGCGAAGCCUGAUGCUGAGGAUUCUGAUGGCAGCAUUGCCUCCUGGGAGCUGCGGGUGGAGGGGAAGCUCCUGGAUGAUCCCAGCAAGCAGAAGCGGAAGUUCUCGUCUUUCUUCAAGAGUUUGGUCAUUGAGCUGGACAAAGAUCUCUAUGGUCCCGACAACCACCUCGUUGAGUGGCAUCGGACACCCACGACCCAGGAGACAGAUGGCUUCCAGGUGAAGAGGCCAGGGGACCUGAGUGUGCGCUGCACCCUGCUUCUCAUGCUGGACUACCAGCCUCCCCAGUUCAAACUGGACCCCCGCCUGGCCCGGCUGCUGGGGUUGCACACACAGAGCCGCUCAGCUAUUGUCCAGGCUCUGUGGCAGUAUGUGAAGACCAAUAGGCUGCAGGACUCCCACGACAAGGAAUACAUCAAUGGGGACAAGUAUUUCCAGCAGGUAACCUGUCUCCUGAACCCCGGGAUCUGGGGAGCAGGCAGAGUCCUCCAGCGGGGCAAUACUUCUCUUAAAGUAACCACUACCUCUCCCUUCUAGAUUUCUGAAUAGCAGAAGCGAUACACAGUUGUGUUCUUGGAGCCAAGACACCAACCAGGGUUCUAGACAGGGCCCUACCAUGGAUUAGCUCUGUGCUGCAGCCAGUCCAUUUUAGCCUCCCCAAGUUAGGAAGAUCUGGAACCCUACAAAACCAACUGCUUUCUGAAAUGUAGUUUUCUUGGGAUUUGGAAUGAGGAUCCCUGGGUUCUAAUCCUGGGUCUAGACUUUGGUAAGUUACUUAGCUAUUCUAAGCCUUGUUCCUUAUCUUUGAAGUGAAGUGAUGACACUUGUCCCAUCUAAUCUCUUGGGCAGUUAGGAAAAUCAAAUCACUGUGAAAGUGAUUUGGCAAAAUUCUACCGAAGUACAGAGUAUGCUUAUUAAUGCACUUUUAAAUAAACACAGCAGAUAAACCUGAGGAGUAAAAAUAGCAGUUGAUAUUUAUUGAGCACUUACCACGUGCCAGGCAGCUCCAAGCACUUUAUGUGUAUUAAUCACUGAGUUCUUCCAACAGCACUGUGAGAUAAGUGUUAUUAUCCCCACUUUAGAGAUAGAGACACUGAGGCCUUAGGUGUUAAGGAACUUGCUCAAGGCUGUAUAGUAAGUGGUGGGAGCAGGAGUGAUUUCUAGGCAGGGAGACCCAGGGCCACACCCUCAACCACUGCCCCACACAGACCCCCCUUCCUUGUUGGCUGUGCCGGUGACUCUCUGACCAGCAUAGCCUACCCCACUCCUAUCCAUCAUGAGCACUGAGGAAUCAAACUUGCUCUCAGCUUCUUACGGGCUCUCCAGAAUGAAAGGAUCUAGAACUGUAAUUAUGCUUUCAAGCACAGAAGAGUGACUUCUCUCUCCCCAAAUGUCCUGCUCCAGAUUUUUGACUGCCCCCGGCUGAAGUUUUCUGAGAUUCCCCAGCGCCUCACAGCCCUGCUAUUGCCCCCUGAUCCAAUUGUCAUCAACCAUGUCAUCAGCGUGGAUCCAUCAGACCAGAAGAAGACAGCGUGCUACGACAUUGACGUGGAGGUGGAGGAGCCACUAAAGGGGCAGAUGAGCAGCUUCCUCCUGUCCACGGCCAACCAGCAGGAGAUCAGUGCUCUGGACAGUAAGAUCCAUGAGACGAUUGAGUCCAUAAACCAGCUCAAGAUCCAGAGGGACUUCAUGCUAAGCUUCUCCAGAGACCCCAAAGGCUAUGUCCAAGACCUGCUCCGCUCCCAGAGCCGGGACCUCAAGGUGAUGACAGAUGUAGCCGGCAACCCUGAGGAGGAGCGCCGGGCUGAGUUCUACCACCAGCCCUGGUCCCAGGAGGCCGUCAGUCGCUACUUCUACUGCAAGAUCCAGCAGCGCAGGCAGGAGUUGGAGCAGUCACUGGUUGUGCGCAACACCUAGGCGCCUGUGAAUGAGCAGCACUACGAACCUUCCGGCUGCACCCUGUUCCCCCAGUGCUCUGCCCUGGGCUCUGGCUUCACUCCUCUGCCACCUUGGAUGGGGAUGGGGGAGCUGGAUUAAAGGUCAUUCAUCUGACA